rnacentral:rRNA from 1 species
UACGGAGGGUGCAAGCGUUGUCCGGAUUUAUUGGGUUUAAAGGGUGCGUAGGCGGCCUGGUAAGUCGGCGGUGAAAGCCCGGGGACUCAAGCCCCGGAACUGACCAUCGAUACUGUCAGGCUUGAGUACGGGUGAGGCUGGCGGAAUGGGCGGUGUAGCGGUGAAAUGCAUAGAUACCGUCCAGAACCCCGAUUGCGAAGGCAGCUGGCUAAGCCGUAACUGACGCUGAGGCACGAAAGCGUGGGGAGCGAACAGG